UGUAAUCGAUAGUCCACGAAAANUCUUACUUUAUCUUGUAGAAAUCAGUUUGUAUACCGUCAUUAUUAGAUAACUUUAAUAAAAUUUAAAGUUGUUGGAAUAGUCUAGCUAAUAUAUUAGAUCAAGGUGCAGCUUAUGAUAAAGAAAGAGAUGGGUUACAUUAUAGUAAAUAUAAACGGAACAACAAAUGAAGGUUUGUUGUUGAAGGUGGAUUUAAAAGGUAAUA
rnacentral:rRNA from 1 species